rfam:Vibrio aerogenes CECT 7868 genome assembly, contig: 0014
AAUAACGGUGAGCUGAGCAGGGGCGCUUCGGCGCGCCGUUUCCUAGUGGGCGGUAAGGCCAACCUUGUUCAGUUCACCACCAUA